rnacentral:rRNA from 1 species
CCUACGGGAGGCAGCAGUGAGGAAUAUUGGUCAAUGGGCGCGAGCCUGAACCAGCCAAGUCGCGUGAGGGAGUACUGCCCUAUGGGUUGUAAACCUCUUUUGUCGGGGAGCAAAAGCCGGACGUGUCCGGCUGUGAGAGUACCCGAAGAAAAAGCAUCGGCUAACUCCGUGCCAGCAGCCGCGGUAAUACGGAGGAUGCGAGCGUUAUCCGGAUUUAUUGGGUUUAAAGGGUGCGCAGGCGGAUGUUUAAGUCAGCGGUAAAAUCGUGGGGCUCAACCCCAUCCAGCCGUUGAAACUGGGGAUCUAGAGUGUGCGAGAGGUAUGCGGAAUGCGUGGUGUAGCGGUGAAAUGCAUAGAUAUCACGCAGAACCCCGAUUGCGAAGGCAGCAUACCGGUGCACAACUGACGCUCAGGCACGAAAGCGUGGGUAUCGAACAGGAUUAGAUACCCGAGUAGUC